AAAUGAAUUGACGGGGACCCGCACAAGCGGUGGAUGAUGUUCUUUAAUUCGAUGCAACGCGAAAAACCUUACCCACCUUUGACAUGGUAGGAACUUUCCAGAGAUGGAUUGGUGCUCGAAAGAGAACCUACACACAGGUGCUGCAUGGCUGUCGUCAGCUCGUGUCGUGAGAUGUUGGGUUAAGUCCCGCAACGAGCGCAACCCUUAUCAUUAGUUGCUACGCAAGGGCACUCUAAUGAGACUGCCGGUGAUAAACCGGAGGAAGGUGGGGAUGACGUCAAGUCCUCAUGGCCCUGAUAGGUGGGGCUAGAAACGUCAUACAAUGGCUGGUACAAAGGGUUGCCAACCCGCGAGGGGGAGCUAAUCUCAUAAACCCAGUCGUAGUCCGGAUCGCAGUCUGCAACUCGACUGCGUGAAGUCGGAAUCGCUAGUAAUCGUGGAUCAGCAUGUCACGGUGAAUACGUUCCCGGGUCUUGUACACACCGCCCGU
rnacentral:rRNA from 1 species